rnacentral:rRNA from 1 species
UAGGGAAUAUUAGAAAUGGACGAAAGUCUGAUCUAGCGACACCGCGUGUGCGAAGAAGGCCUUCGGGUUGUAAAGCACUUUUUGGAAGGAAUAGGAAGGAAGGUACUUCCAGAAUAAGUCUCGGCUAACUACGUGCCAGCAGCCGCGGUAACACGUAGGAGGCGAACGUUAUCCGGAUUUACUGGGCGUAAAGCGCGUGUAGGUAGUUUUGUAAGUAGGGCGUGAAAGCUCCUGGCUCAACUAGGAGAGGCCGUUCUAAACUGCAGAGCUAGAGGAUGGUAGAGGGAGGUGGAAUUCCAGGUGUAGCGGUGGAAUGCGCAGAUAUCUGGAGGAACACCAGUGGCGAAGGCGGCCUCCUGGACCAUUCCUGACACUCAGACGCGAAAGCUAGGGUAGCAAACGG